CGAAAAUAAAAUGCGCCGUGUUUUGACGUUUAUUUUAUCCUGACAGAUAAUAAAAAUCAAACUGAAAGGAUUGAACAGAGAAACUAUAAUAUUUACAAUAGGCAUUCGAAUAUAAUUCGCAAGAAUAAAAAAUGAAAACGAUACCGGCGAAGUAAAAAUAUGAAGGAAUGGAUUUGCUUACGCUAACCCAGAGAAGGCCGUGACCGGAAAUCGUAUGUUCAUCAAAUUUUAGUUGAACCAUCUCACCAAGUUGACGGACAGUAUCAUGGUUAAACUAAAGCCUGAUCCGGAACCCGAAAACAAACUUCACUAGUUCCGAUGCGCAAAUAUCAUACGGCUUCUACUAGCACAACAUCUUGCAAAUGGAUUACACUUGCCUGAGUAUUUCUCGCCGCGACUGCAACUCGCCCAAGUGAGCUCUACGUCCUUAGGAGUUCUAUCAGUGUCUAGCUUGUACAUCUCCCAUGAGGCAGAAGCCCGUCGAGAGUAUUUUUACCUGGAGCCGACCGACAACGGAAGGGAGCAUCCGGAGAUCCUUCUGAAUUAGUCAUGGUGGGUCAUUGCUCAUGAGGGUUCGGCGGAGGAGAAACUAUCUAUGCGUAAGGAGUUGGAAGAACGCUUGAACUUGUCAAGUUAACGCAAUAGAUAAAAAAUGGAUUCGAGGAAAAAAUUGCUUAAGACGUUGUAAAACUGGAUGCUGAACGGGCCAUCGAAGGUCUGCAUAAAGAUAUCAACAAAUGCAAAGUCGAUUUCUUUGAGCAUCAGAUACAUCUGGGAUGAGAUCAAGCGCAGCUUAGCUAUUGGCUUUUUGAAUCCUUGCCUGGGUUAUUCGUAGAGCACGAUCUUGUCCAGUGCAUGGGAUACUUCUUCAGGACGAGUUUGCAGAUUUUAUCAUAGCAAAGAAAAAGGCAAUGCUUAGUGCUCAAAGUCUUAACCCAAGAGGGUGCGUGAGAAAAACGUGAAAUACUGCCACUUAUGAAAGAUUGUCCAGCAGACCAAAUAACUAUGAACAAAGAAGAUCUAGAAACAACCCUCGCGUUCAUUUAUCACAAAAUACAUUGAAAGUAAGAUUCUACUGAUUCCAAACACGACCCGUGACCGAAUGCUAACAUUAUUUUUGAAGCCACCAUCCGCAGGAACCUUUUAGGACUAGAUAGAAUCGAAAAUUCUCCUGGGUUAUUUGGGUAGCAUGAAGGUUACUGAUCGAGAAGGUGCACUGCAGUUUUACUUCAAAGGAACUGUAUGCAAUGGGGUCGCAAUCGACAGGCGGCUACGAAAAAUGAAGAACCCAAUGAUCAAACCCAAGGCAUGAAGAACGACGAAUCUGACGGUGAAAGACAUCUGAAAGACAACUUAUUUUUGACAAAAGUCUUGGCUAUGAUUUGCCAGACAGGGUUAUUGUUGCAAGUAAUCAACAUCGUCAAAAGUUCGUUUUCUUGCAACAAUCCUGCUCCAAAUCGAACAAUGUAUUGAUCCUGAAUUUCUGUGUUUCGCAUUCGAAGGGAAGAAGAAGAUCAUAUAAGAUAAAUCUACCAUCACAAAAUCAAUCAUAAAGGGCCAGAAGAAUCUGGGAAGAAUUUUAUAUGAGCGCUACAAACUAUCUCCAGCUUUCCUACAUUAUAAUUCGGUUUUCAACUGAAAGCACAAUAUAUACCGCACAGGCCACUUCGGCCUUAGUCUGAAUAAAUCUAUAUAAUAAAAAUGAAA